rnacentral:rRNA from 1 species
GACGAACGCUGGCGGCGUGCCUAAUACAUGCAAGUAGAACGCUGAAGGAGGAGCUUGCUUCUCUGGAUGAGUUGCGAACGGGUGAGUAACGCGUAGGUAACCUGCCUGGUAGCGGGGGAUAACUAUUGGAAACGAUAGCUAAUACCGCAUAAUAGUAGAUGUUGCAUGACAUUUGCUUAAAGGUGCAAUUGCAUCACUACCAGAUGGACCUGCGUUGUAUUAGCUAGUUGGUGAGGUAACGGCUCACCAAGGCGACGAUACAUAGCCGACCUGAGAGGGUGAUCGGCCACACUGGGACUGAGACACGGCCCAGACUCCUACGGGAGGCAGCAGUAGGGAAUCUUCGGCAAUGGACGGAAGUCUGACCGAGCAACGCCGCGUGAGUGAAGAAGGUUUUCGGAUCGUAAAGCUCUGUUGUAAGAGAAGAACGAGUGUGAGAGUGGAAAGUUCACACUGUGACGGUAUCUUACCAGAAAGGGACGGCUAACUACGUG